AACAUAAUCUAGAGCAUCGCGGGCUCUAAGCACAUACCCUUUACCAUUUCUGGCAAAGCUCCAAAUAAUCCCACAAACACCAGAGUACAAAAGGGUAUUGUGAACAAUAAAUUUGGACAUAUCGGAAGCAUAUGCGGAACAACGAAAUGUACAUGUGCCUUUAUGAAACAUUACGAUACAAACAUGAAGUUUACAUAACAGAUUUAGGUAUCCAAAUACAUGUAGGACAAGAGCAUACAAGAAUUCAAAGCAGUAAUAUAAAGCUCAAUUGAAUAAGAAAGCUAAAGGAUAUCAAUUUUCAAAGGAAUGAAACCAGAAUAUGAGAAAUCGACCAAAGCUCGAUUUCUGGCAGAAUACAAGAGGCACAUUGAACAAAUGAAUCAAACUAUCAAUCGUGCUCCAAUUUUACUCAGAAAAGCUAUCAAAAGAAAGGUUUAUGAGUCUAUAUUCUGAUCAAAUAUUUUUUGUCCAAAUCAGAUGUCAAUACAUAAAGUUAUAAUCAUAACAAGGUAGAAAGGUCAGAAUCUCAGAAGUUGCACAGAUUCGGAUCGUUAUGUCUAAACAGGAGAUAUAUCAAAUGCAAGGCUAGAACAAUUCAAUGUUCC
rnacentral:lncRNA from 1 species